rnacentral:rRNA from 1 species
CGGAGGAAAAGAAACUAACAAGGAUUCCCCUAGUAACGGCGAGUGAACCGGGAAGAGCUCAAAUUUGAAAUCUGGCAGUCUUCGAUUGUCCGAGUUGUAAUCUAUAGAAGCGUUUUCCGUGCUGAACUGUGUAUAAGUCCCUUGGAACAGGGUAUCAAAGAGGGUGACAAUCCCGUACUUUACACAAUCAUCAGUGCUCUGUGAUACGUUCUCUACGAGUCGAGUUGUUUGGGAAUGCAGCUCAAAAUGGGUGGUAAAUUCCAUCUAAAGCUAAAUAUUGGCGAGAGACCGAUAGCGAACAAGUACCGUGAGGGAAAGAUGAAAAGCACUUUGGAAAGAGAGUUAAACAGUACGUGAAAUUGUUGAAAGGGAAACGAACGCUACGUAUCAUGUUUAUUGGACUCAGCCGAUCUUCGGUGUACUUCCUUUAAACGGGUCAACAUCAGUUUUGUCCGAUGGAUAAAGGUAGUAGGAAGGUGGCUCUCUCGGGAGUGUUAUAGCCUAUUGCCGCAUACAUUGGAUGAGACUGAGGACUGCAGCUUGCCUUUAUGGCCGGGGUUCGCCCACGUUCAAGCUUAGGAUGUUGACAUAUACUCGAGCGCACGCCCCGU